GGAGAAGACGGCCGUCUGUGAACCAGGAAGGGGGCUCUCACCAGACACCAAAUCUGCUGGCACCUUGAUCUUGGAUUUCCAGCCUCCAGAACUGUGGGAUGCCUACCACAGCAUGGCUUGACAAGCUGUGCGAUGUCCUCACCUGGGAUCUGAACCAGUGAACCCCUGGACCACCGAAGCAGAACCUGCAAACUUAACCGCUGUGCCGCCAGGCCACCCCACCCACGCUGACCCUACUUCUUGACGGUUCAAACAGCCCCCCAGUACCUAGUUGUACAUUCUAGUUCUGGGUCCUUCCAGUUGUGGCAUGUGGAAUGCCACCUCAGCAUGACCUGAUGAGCAGUACCAUGUCCACGCCCAGGAAUCGAACCAGCGAAACUCGAAGCUGCCGAAGCGGAGUGUGGGAACUUAACCACUCGGCCACGGGGCCUGCCCCCAUCACCUUUCUUGAUCCCUUUCCUGUAAGCUGAGGAGAAAUCUUAAGCAACCAGGCAUAG
rnacentral:lncRNA from 1 species